UUCUAAAAUAAGAUCUUCUACAAUAUAAUAUUUUCUUCUUUCUUUCAUUCAUUAGACAUAUUGCAUUACAACAAUAUGGAAUUAAUACUUUCAUAAUGGAUUAUAAUUGUGGUAUGUAGAUGCAACUAAUUAAAUUUUCUACUCAGUCAAUUAAGUGUAAUUAAUCAAAAAAAAUGUGGAAUUAUAUUGGCGUGCUUUUGAAGCAAGUUUCCUACUAUUAUUUGAUAUUUUUAUGCUUAUAUUUAUAAUAUUAUGCUAUUAUAUGCAUGAAUUAGAUAUUAUGCUCAUAUAUGUGUAUGUGGGUAGUCUAUGCUAACUUCAAAUUUGUAUAUACACUAGAUAUCUUGACUUUAUUUGUUAUUUUACUACACUUACUUGAAAUCAAAAGAUUAUGUGUUUUACAUAACUAUUUGAAGACCAACGUUACAGAUUUCCACAAGAUCUUUGGUUGUUAUCAUACCAAGAAUAUUUUCAUUCUAAAUUUUUACUAAAAGCACUUGAAUAUAAAACCAUAAUUUAGGCGUUUUGUUAAGCUUUUUAUAUUUCUUUGUUCUAAUUGAUUGGUAGGAAAUAUUCUAAAGAUAGGCAUUGAGGUAGGAUCCAUAGUAAUGCUUCUUAUCAAUUACCACCCUAAUCUCUAUACAAUUUGUUGGAAUUUUUGAUUUAUAUAAUUGUUGUACCAGUUUGUCUAUAUGGUGGAUUCAUUUCAUGAAUUUAUUACUAUCCAUUCAUCUUUCAAAUUUAUUUAUAGUUUCUUUGUUGAUCCAUGUGACAAUUUGUUUAUUUGUUUCUUUGUUGAUCGCUGUAGGGUUUGUUGUUUUGUGGCUUGAUACUUUACAAGACACACCAUGGCGGACUAAAGCUGUGACUGAGAACUCACCAUCAGCAGGGUAUUUGAAGAGGAUUGUAUGGGCAAGAGCAGAGGUGUAUGUGUGUUCUUUUUAUUGUUUCAGAUUUUUUAAUGUUUUUUUUGUUGAUCCAUGUGUUUCUUUGUUUUUAAUUUUUAUUGUUGUCUGUUUGUUGUUUGUUUGAUCAGCCAUUUACAAACUGAGUAAGGUUUGAAUCUGCAAAAAAAUCAUUUUGAUAAACCUAACAGCAACUUGCAACAACACCAGACUGUGGCAGAAAGGUCUUGCCACAAUCAACAUUUAUUAGAGCUAUGAAGACAAACAACAACCAAUGAUAAUAAACAACAAUACUAGAACAUAUGUGAGUCUUAAAUUCUAGAAGUUUUUUAAUUCUUGUGUAUUUUUUUGUUUUUGUUUAUUUUUUUAUGUGUAUGAAAUAUGUUAAUUCUUAAAUGGGAGCCAAUUUUUUAUUUGUCAUCUUUUGGCUUAUAUAUUUUUGUUUAAAAUAUUAAAAAACUUGUACCAUAAGGUUACUUUUUUUAAUUGUGCUACUAUAUAAACAAGUUCUUCAAUUUGCAAGUAUUGUUUCUUAUCAUUGUAGUGCUCAUCUUUAAUAUUGGUGAUGAUACUCUUGCAACACAAUAGACGAAGUUAUCACUAAGAUAAUAAGUGCUAUAUUUAUUACAAAUUUACUGCUAGAAAUAAAGACUUCCUAUGUAGUACAUUGUUCAAUUGAAUCAAUCUUUGAUAAUUCUUUGUCAAAGCCAAAGAAAUCUUUCUUUUGUUGUAGUGAUAUAUAGAGCAUUGAGAGUUAGAAGAUGUGUAGGAAUUCCAAACUAGCAGUAAGAAGAUGAAUGCAUAUAUAUCAUGUAGUUGGAAUAUAUAGGAUAUACGUAAAUAAAUGAGUGCAUAUGUAGUGCAUCAUUAUAUAAAGAAUAUAGAUCAUUUUGGUGCUGAAAGUUCAUCAUUAUUUUGGAACUUAUAUUGGUUGAUUAGACCUUUUAUAAUAAAACUAUAUGGUAUUUAUUAAGAAAAUUAUGCAUUGUAAUAAAAAAAAUAUAUAUAUAUAUAUAUAUUACAUGAUCAUAUCUAUUAUAAUCAAGUAUAUGUAAUAUCUAAGAUAUUUUUCAUAAAUCAUAGUAUUUUCUUGGAAAUAGUAUUUAAACAUAUCCAUUAUAUUCUUCCACAUCUACAAUCAAAGGACCUAAAAAUGUUAUUCUUCUAUAAUGAUGGUUUAUUUUGUUGGUGUGAUUUAAAUUGAAAAGACCAUAAGAAGGUUUCAUUAACAAACUUGAAUACAAAUAUAAAUAAUAGUGAUUUAGAAUUAUAAUUUAUAUAUUUUUAAUUAUGUGAUUUUUAAAAAAUUAUAACAAUAAUCCAUGUAUUAUUAUUAUUAUUAUUAUUAUUAUUAUUAUCAAAAGAUAUUAUUAUUAUUAUCAAAAGAUAUUAUUAUUAUUAAAAUAAUCUUAUUAUUAAAAGAUAUUAUUAUCAAAAGGUAUUAUCAAAUCAUUUUUU
rnacentral:lncRNA from 1 species